rnacentral:rRNA from 1 species
UACGUAUGGGGCAAGCGUUAUCCGGAUUUACUGGGUGUAAAGGGAGCGCAGGCGGCAAGGCAAGUCAGAAGUGAAAACCCGGGGCUCAACCCCGUGAUUGCUUUUGAGACUGUUUAGCUGGAGUGCAGGAGGGGCAAGCGGAAUUCCUAGUGUAGCGGUGAAAUGCGUAGAUAUUAGGAAGAACACCGGUGGCGAAGGCGGCUUGCUGGACUGUAACUGACGCUGAGGCUCGAAGGCGUGGGGAGCAAAC